rnacentral:rRNA from 1 species
UAGGUCUCAGUUCAGAUUGCAGGCUGCAACCCGCCUGCAUGAAGUCGGAAUUGCUAGUAAUCGCGGAUCAGCAUGCCGCGGUGAAUACGUUCCCGGGCCUUGUACACACCGCCCGUCACACCAUGGGAGCCGGUAAUACCCGAAGUCAGUAGUCCAACCACGUGAGGACGCUGCCGAAGGUAGGAUUGGCGACUGGGGUGAAGUCGUAACAAGGUACC